ACGUAGGGUGCGAGCGUUAAUCGGAAUUACUGGGCGUAAAGCGUGCGCAGGCGGUUUGUUAAGUCAGAUGUGAAAGCCCCGGGCUUAACCUGGGAACUGCGUUUGAGACUGGCAAGCUAGAGUCUGUCAGAGGGGGGUAGAAUUCCACGUGUAGCAGUGAAAUGCGUAGAGAUGUGGAGGAAUACCGAUGGCGAAGGCAGCCCCCUGGGAUAAGACUGACGCUCAUGCACGAAAGCGUGGGGAGCAAACAGGAUUAGAUACCCUGGUAGUCCACGCCCUAAACGAUGUCGACUGGUUGUUGGGCAACUUGAUUGUUCAGUAACGAAGCUAACGCGAGAAGUCGACCGCCUGGGGAGUACGGUCGCAAGAUUA
rnacentral:rRNA from 1 species